rnacentral:lncRNA from 1 species
GUAUAUACUGUAUAGGUUUCAGUGCUAUCCGCGGUUUAAGGUAUUCGCUUGGGGUUUUGAAACAUAUCCCCUGCAGAUAAAGGGGAUGUACUGUACUGUAUUUUUUUACUUCUCUUAAAUGACAUUUGUUUAGUCGUUAUUUACAAUCAUAAGCCAUGAUGCAGCAUCAUGUACAAACCAGAAAGCUGUUGACCCAUAUGUUCCCAGCCUGAUUGACUAUCUGUAAAAUAGACUGAUUAUCUAUUUCAACAUUUCUUUUGGAAAACCAUGCCUGUUCAUUGUUCUUUUCAUUCCUUGUAGAAUAUACUUCAGAUACAAAAUCUUGAGAAGAAGCAUGCUGAGGAUGCACUUGAAACUUUCCAACAAGAGCUGAAGGAUUUGAAGGAAAUAGUUCAAACAAAAGAGGUUGAACUCUUCGACAUGAGGGAGAAGUUAUGUGAUGUCUUAAGAAAUGAAGGAAAAUCAGAUGAAGAAAUUAAUCACUUGAAGAAGGAUAUUGAGAAUUAUAAGAAAGCAAACAGGGAGCUCAUGGCAAGUUUCAACAAGCUCCAGAUUCAAAAUGAGACAGUUGCACAACAAACCCCAGGCAAUGUGUCAGAAGCAAAGGCACUUGAAGUCCACCUAGAGGAAUGUAAGGCAAAUGAGAAGAAGACCAAAAAAGAAAUGAAGAAACUAGAAGAAGAAAACUAUCAAUUAAGAAAUAAAGUGGAAUCUUUGAGCGUAAAAGUUGAAGAGAGGAAAACUAUUCAAGAAAAAUAUGAGAAGAGUAUCCAAAACUUACAGAAGGAAAUUGUGAAAAAAGAAAAAUUACUGAACUCUGUUGAGAUGAAGGUAAAUAAUUAG